rnacentral:rRNA from 1 species
UACGGAGGGAGCAAGCGUUAUCCGGAAUCACUGGGUUUAAAGGGUGCGUAGGUGGCUUGAUAAGACAGGGGUGAAAGCCCGCAGCUUAACUGCGGAACUGCCUUUGAUACUGUCGAGCUUGAAAGAGGUUCAGGUCAGCGGAACGUGACAUGUAGCGGUCAAAUGCAUAGAUAUGUCCCAGAACACCGAUUGCGACGGCAGCUGGCUGGACCUACUUUGACGCUGUCUAACGAAUGCGUAGAGAGCGAACCAG